GUCCACGCCGUAAACGAUGUCGACUUGGAGGUUGUGCCCUUGAGGCGUGGCUUCCGGAGCUAACGCGUUAAGUCGACCGCCUGGGGAGUACGGCCGCAAGGUUAAAACUCAAAUGAAUUGACGGGGCCCGCACAAGCGGUGGAGCAUGUGGUUUAAUUCGAUGCAACGCGAAGAACCUUACCUGGUCUUGACAUCCACAGAACCUUGUAGAGAUACGAGGGUGCCUUCGGGAACUGUGAGACAGGUGCUGCAUGGCUGUCGU
rnacentral:rRNA from 1 species